UACGUAGGGUGCAAACGUUGCUCGGAAUCACUGGGCGUAAAGGGCGUGUAGGCGGGUAUGUAAGUCGGGCGUGAAAGCCCCAGGCUCAACCUGGGAACUGCACUCGAAACUGCGUUUCUUGAGUAUCGGAGAGGAAAGCGGAAUACCUGGUGUAGAGGUGAAAUUCGUAGAUAUCAGGUGGAACACCAGUGGCGAAGGCGGCUUUCUGGACGAUUACUGACGCUGAGACGCGAAAGCGUGGGGAGCAAACAGG
rnacentral:rRNA from 1 species